GCAGACCGCUCCCUUGCUCCUGCAGCUCGCCCCAACCCCUGACUUGUCGUGUCUUGGGCCGUCGCGGCACUCUCAUCUUGCGUCGUCGCCUUAUUGCAGUUCUGGUGAGGCCAUGUAGUUCUUGUCCUACUCAUUUCCCUACCGGUAUCAAAUCCUUACUGUUGUUUAUACGUAUGUUUUUGUGUGAGUUGGGAGGUGGUGAAGAAAGGAACUCUAGUGCAUCACACACCUUGUGCUUGACGAAAUGUUUGAAUCAGAAUUUAUCAUCGCAUCCGCAGUUUGGUUUAAUCAUGGUGAGACUCGUUGUUCCUUCUCCAUUCAUUCCCCACCCGGUACCUAUAGCUUGAAGUUGUUAUUGUGUGUCUGGGUGUAGAUCAGAGUUUCGUAGAAAAAAGAUUAAAUUAAGUGGUAUGUCGUUUAUGUUUCAGAGUGUUGUUAGGAUUAGCUUCGAUACGAAUUUUUGAUGAAAUGACUCCUUAUAUGUCGUGAUAUGGUUAUAUGCGUGUUUGAUAGGUAGAUGUAUGAUUUGAUAUAAUAUUAGAUGGGUUAUUACAGGAUUAUGGGAUGAAUACUCUUGAUAGGCAUAUAGUGUAGUGUUGUGCCGAGGAAUGCACAAGGGAGGUAGUGUUAUUGCAAGUAAAUUAGCCAAUUGUUUUAUGAAGCUGAAGAUCAGUCUUAGUCAUCAUUAUCUUCUAUCAUGUUGAUUAAUCAAAGGUUCAAGGUGAAUAUGGGUUGUUGUCAGGUAAUGCUUGUUUCUCUCUUUUUCCUUUUGUCCUUGUGAUGGUAUGUUGUAUGUGAUAUAUUUGGUGAAUAGAGAGAGUGACUUUAUAUGCAUAGUGUAAUAAAAAUGAGUUCUUCUUGGUGAUGAUAUUGUAUGGAAUGUGCUUGGAUGGAUAUAUGUGUAUGCAUAGUGUACUUAAAUUGAUUCUUUGUUUGCAUAAUGUCAGAGUAGGUUUAAAAUACUAGAUUAUGUGAAGUAAAUGGAUUCAUGGCUAUAGAAUAGCAGAAAUCUAUAUAUGCGAUUAGAAAGUGUCAAGCACAUGAUAAUUGUAAAAACCAAAUAGGAGCUAAAUGGAAAGCUUGCUGUUUGGGACUGCAUGUCCAGUUUCGUAAGCAGCUAGUUC
rnacentral:lncRNA from 1 species